rnacentral:rRNA from 1 species
UUGGGUCGUGUUAUAAAUGCUCUGGCUAAACCUAUUGAUGGGAGAGGCAAAAUUGUAGCUUCCGAAUCUCACUUAAUUGAAUCUCUUGCUCCAAGUAGAAUUUCCAGGCGUUCCGUAUACGAACCUCUUCAAAUAGGGCUUAUCGCUAUCGAUUCGAUGAUCCCUAUAGGGCGUGGUCAGCGAGCGAUCAUUAUUGGGGACAGACAGACUAGCAAAACAACAGUAGCCACAGAUACAAUUCUCAAGAUAAAAGGGCAAGAUGUAAGAAGAACGAGAGUGAGCCUUCACGAAAAAAUGCAAGUGAAAGAGAAUUGUCAAAAUUUCCUAAAAGCAGCGGUUCUUUUCUUUAUGGAUUGGGUAGAUCCAUAUGUUCUGAGGGGGAGAUGA